rnacentral:rRNA from 1 species
GAUGAACGCUGGCGGCGUGCCUAAUACAUGCAAGUCGAGCGAACGGACGAGAAGCUUGCUUCUCUGAUGUUAGCGGCGGACGGGUGAGUAACACGUGGAUAACCUACCUAUAAGACUGGGCUAACUUCGGGAAACCGGAGCUAAUACCGGAUAAUAUUUUGAACCGCAUGGUUCAAAAGUGAAAGACGGUCUUGCUGUCACUUAUAGAUGGAUCCGCGCUGCAUUAGCUAGUUGGUAAGGUAACGGCUUACCAAGGCAACGAUGCAUAGCCGACCUGAGAGGGUGAUCGGCCACACUGGAACGGAGACACGGUCCAGACUCCUACGGGAGGCAGCAGUAGGGAAUCUUCCGCAAUGGGCGAAAGCCUGACGGAGCAACGCCGCGUGAGUGAUGAAGGUCUUCGGAUCGUAAAACUCUGUUAUUAGGGAAGAACAUAUGUGUAAGUAACUGUGCACAUCUUGACGGUACCUAAUCAGAAAGCCACGGCUAACUACGUG